rnacentral:rRNA from 1 species
UACGAAGGGGGCGAGCGUUGUUCGGAUUUACUGGGCGUAAAGGGCGCGCAGGCGGCAGACCAAGUCGGGCGUGAAAUCCCACGGCUCAACCGUGGAAGUGCACUCGAAACUGGAUGGCUAGAGUCCUGGAGAGGAAGGUGGAAUGCUUGGUGUAGAGGUGAAAUUCGUAGAUAUCAAGCGGAACACCGGUGGCGAAGGCGGCCUUCUGGACAGUGACUGACGCUGAGACGCGAAAGCGUGGGGAGCAAACAGG